rnacentral:ncRNA from 1 species
UUCAAGGGAGUAACUGGCAGAUAAUCUGCGAUAGUAUCACCAACCGAAAUUUUAUUUCUGGUACUAUCUUAAUUAGUGAGACUUGGAUGACGAGGUCAUUCAGGUCUCUUUUU